UCGGGAAUUUUGGGCAAUGGGCGAAAGCCUGACCCAGCAACGCCGCGUGAAGGAUGAAGUAUUUCGGUAUGUAAACUUCGUAAGAAUAGGAAGAAUAAAUGACGGUACUAUUUGUAAGGUCCGGCUAACUACGUGCCAGCAGCCGCGGUAAUACGAAGGGGGCUAGCGUUGUUCGGAAUUACUGGGCGUAAAGCGCACGUAGGCGGAUUGUUAAGUCAGAGGUGAAAUCCCGGAGCUCAACUUCGGAACUGCCUUUGAUACUGGCAAUCUAGAGUCCGGAAGAGGUUAGUGGAAUUCCCAGUGUAGAGGUGAAAUUCGUAGAUAUUGGGAAGAACACCAGUGGCGAAGGCGGCUAACUGGUCCGGUACUGACGCUGAGGUGCGAAAGCGUGGGGAGCAAACAGGAUUAGAUACCCAAGUAGUCCCUGAGCGGGCUGGCAAGGCGCAU
rnacentral:rRNA from 1 species